rnacentral:rRNA from 1 species
UACGUAGGGGGCUAGCGUUGUCCGGAAUCAUUGGGCGUAAAGAGCGUGUAGGCGGCUCGGUAAGUCCGCUGUGAAAGUCCAGGGCUCAACCCUGGAAUGCCAGUGGAAACUGUCGAGCUAGAGUCCGGAAGAGGCGAGUGGAAUUCCUGGUGUAGCGGUGAAAAUGCGCAGAUAUCAGGAGGAACACCAAUGGCGAAGGCAGCUCGCUGGGGACGGUACUGACGCUGAGACGCGAAAGCGUGGGGAGCAAACAGG